GGGUGAGUAACGCGUGGGAAUCUACCGUGCCCUGCGGAAUAGCUCCGGGAAACUGGAAUUAAUACCGCAUACGCCCUACGGGGGAAAGAUUUAUCGGGGUAUGAUGAGCCCGCGUUGGAUUAGCUAGUUGGUGGGGUAAAGGCCUACCAAGGCGACGAUCCAUAGCUGGUCUGAGAGGAUGAUCAGCCACAUUGGGACUGAGACACGGCCCAAACUCCUACGGGAGGCAGCAGUGGGGAAUAUUGGACAAUGGGCGCAAGCCUGAUCCAGCCAUGCCGCGUGAGUGAUGAAGGCCUUAGGGUUGUAAAGCUCUUUCACCGGAGAAGAUAAUGACGGUAUCCGGAGAAGAAGCCCCGGCUAACUUCGUGCCAGCAGCCGCCGGUAA
rnacentral:rRNA from 1 species